UACGGGGGGGGCAAGCGCUGUUCGGAAUUACUGGGCGUAAAGGGUUCGUAGGUGGCCGACUAAGUCAAACGUGAAAUCCCUCAGCUUAACUGGGGAACUGCGUCUGAUACUGGUCGGCUUGAGUGCAGGAGAGGAACGCGGAAUUCCAGGUGUAGCGGUGAAAUGCGUAGAUAUCUGGAGGAACACCGGUGGCGAAGGCGGCGUUCUGGACUGCAACUGACACUGAUGAACGAAAGCGUGGGGAGCAAACAGG
rnacentral:rRNA from 1 species